AUCUGCGAGGACAAAGAGGAGGCCUCCCCGUUUGGCCGUCCUCUUGGCUACACGGCCCGCCCCUCCCCUUUUGUGCUUCUCGCGAAGUCUUCACCUACAUUAGGCACCUCUCAAACUUGAACUCUUCCCACUCUCCUCAUCCUCCAUUCCCCAAUCUGCGGCUCCUCAACGGUUUCAGGCACCGUCCAGCCCCAGGGCCUUCCUUCUGCACCGAUACCUGCACGGCUUCUUCCCUCACUUCCUUCACCUCUGCGUUGAGAUGUCACUUGCUUAGAGGCCUUCCCACUGAAGUUCCACGAUCUAGCCACUAACUUUCUUGGUGCCUCCACCGUCCCCAACCAGCUUGGGACAGCAAAGACGUGGACUCUUUGAUCUGCUACCCUCCCUCCCUGCCUCAAAUGCUGACCGGUGCAACCACUGACAUUAGCUAAAUGAAGGAAUGACCUGA